GCGGGGGUAGCCAAGUCAGGUCAAAGGCAGUUUGCCGACUGAAGGCGUACGGUUCAGGGCCGUAUCCCGUAGGGGUUCGGGGGUUCGAAUCCCCUCCCCCGCACCA
rnacentral:tRNA from 1 species